GGGGGUAUGGCGGAACCGGUAGACGCAGCGGACUUAAAAUCCGCAGGCCGCAAGGCUGUGGGGGUUCAAGUCCCCCUGCCCCCACCU
rnacentral:tRNA from 1 species